rnacentral:RNase_P_RNA from 1 species
GAGGGGAGCCGGACGGUCGCUGGUCGAUUCCGAUCAGAGGAAAGUCCGGGCUUCAUCGGGCGCCGCGGUGGAUAACGUCCACCGAUCACAGGAAGUCGGUGGUCACGGUUCAUCCGGUACCGACUUCUGAAGAUCAGGGCCAGUGCCACAGAAAAGGAUACCGCCGAUCGACACGAUCCGUCACGACCGGGAUCUUCCGGAGCUCACAUGGUACCCCCGGGUACCAUGGAGGGUAUCCCGGAGAAGGACGUCCGGACGCUGACAGACCAGAUCGGUAAGGGUGAAAAGGUGAGGUAAGAGCUCACCGGCGGUCGGGUGACCGGCCGGCCUGGUAAACCCCGCGGGAAGCAAGAUCGAACAGGAUGGGAGCGUCGCAAUACGCUCCGACGGCGGCCCGUCGUUUCAUCCGGGUGGAUCGCCUGAACGACGGAGUAAUCCGUCGUCUGGACAAAUGACCGUCACCGUCACGGGAACGAGACCACGUUUUCUGAUGGUACAGAACCCGGCUUACAGGCUCCCCUCCCCG